UUUAAGUUAGUUUAUUAAAACGUUAGCUUGUGGUGCUAAAGAUGCCUUUCUUGGCACUUUGAA
rnacentral:tRNA from 1 species